ACUCUGUGUAGGUUGUGUUGUGUGCCCUGGUGUGUUAGUCUCCGUCUUGGGCUGUGGAGUGUCCUUCGGUGUCUGGGUGUGGUGAGUAGAGGUGUGUGUCACAAGGUACAGACCUUUGUGUGUGACAAAGCCCAUCGUGUGUCUGUGUGUGUCUUUAUCCACGUGGAUGGACGUCUCUUUCUUGCUCUGCCCCAAGACACACCCUAGCCCCUCCUUAUUCUCAAAAGGGGGAGCUGGGGAGCCUCCCCCUACCCUGGGGCCUCCCCUGCCCCUCCCCGCCCUGCCUGGCCGUCACCACUCCCCAGAGGGCACAGGGCUCUGCUGUGCCUCAGAGCAAAAGUCCCAGAGCCAGCAGAGCAGGCUGACGACCUGCAAGCCACAGUGGCUGCCCUGUGCGUGCUGCGAGGUGGGGGACCCUGGGCAGGAAGCUGGCUGAGCCCCAAGACCCCGGGGGCCAUGGGCGGGGAUCUGGUGCUUGGCCUGGGGGCCUUGAGACGCCGAAAGCGCUUGCUGGAGCAGGAGAAGUCUCUGGCCGGCUGGGCGCUGGUGCUGGCGGGAACUGGCAUUGGACUCAUGGUGCUGCAUGCAGAGAUGCUGUGGUUCGGGGGGUGCUCGUGGGCGCUCUACCUGUUCCUGGUUAAAUGCAUGAUCAGCAUUUCCACCUUCUUACUCCUCUGCCUCAUCGUGGCCUUUCAUGCCAAAGAGGUCCAGCUGUUCAUGACCGACAACGGGCUGCGGGACUGGCGCGUGGCGCUGACCGGGCGGCAGGCGGCGCAGAUCGUGCUGGAGCUGGUGGUGUGUGGGCUGCACCCGGCGCCCGUGCGGGGCCCGCCGUGCGUGCAGGAUUUAGGGGCGCCGCUGACCUCCCCGCAGCCCUGGCCGGGAUUCCUGGGCCAAGGGGAAGCGCUGCUGUCCCUGGCCAUGCUGCUGCGUCUCUACCUGGUGCCCCGCGCCGUGCUCCUGCGCAGCGGCGUCCUGCUCAACGCUUCCUACCGCAGCAUCGGCGCUCUCAAUCAAGUCCGCUUCCGCCACUGGUUCGUGGCCAAGCUUUACAUGAACACGCACCCUGGCCGCCUGCUGCUCGGCCUCACGCUUGGCCUCUGGCUGACCACCGCCUGGGUGCUGUCCGUGGCCGAGAGGCAGGCUGUUAAUGCCACUGGGCACCUUUCAGACACACUUUGGCUGAUCCCCAUCACAUUCCUGACCAUUGGCUAUGGUGACGUGGUGCCGGGCACCAUGUGGGGCAAGAUCGUCUGCCUGUGCACUGGAGUCAUGGGUGUCUGCUGCACAGCCCUGCUGGUGGCCGUGGUGGCCCGGAAGCUGGAGUUUAACAAGGCAGAGAAGCACGUGCACAACUUCAUGAUGGAUAUCCAGUAUACCAAAGAGAUGAAGGAGUCCGCUGCCCGAGUGCUACAAGAAGCCUGGAUGUUCUACAAACAUACUCGCAGGAAGGAGUCUCAUGCUGCCCGCAGGCAUCAGCGCAAGCUGCUGGCCGCCAUCAACGCGUGAGGGCCGCUUUGUAUGCACACGUGUCCAUGUGCACCCAUGUCCAAGUCACCUCUCUGCGCGGCUGUGUGUGUGCGUGUCCAUGCCUGUCCAGCUUCCGCCAGGUGCGGCUGAAACACCGGAAGCUCCGGGAACAAGUGAACUCCAUGGUGGACAUCUCCAAGAUGCACAUGAUCCUGUAUGACCUGCAGCAGAAUCUGAGCAGCUCACACCGGGCCCUGGAGAAACAGAUGGACACGCUGGCGGGGAAGCUGGAUGCCCUGACUGAGCUGCUUAGCACUGCCCUGGGGCCGAGGCAGCUUCCAGAACCCAGCCAGCAGUCCACGUAGCUGGACCCACGAGGAGGAACCAGGCUACUUUCCCCAGUACUGAGGUGGUGGACAUCGUCUCUGCCACUCCUGACCCAGCCCUGAACAAAGCACCUCAAGUGCAAGGACCAAAGGGGGCCCUGGCUUGGAGUGGGUUGGCUUGCUGAUGGCUGCUGGAGGGGACGCUGGCUAAAGUGGGGAGGCCUUGGCCCACCUGAGGCCCCAGGUGGAAACAUGGUCACCCCCACUCUGCAUACCCUCAUCAAAAACACUCUCACUAUGCUGCUAUGGACGACCUCCAGCUCUCAGUUACAAGUGGAGGCGACUGGAGGCCGGACUCCUGGGUCCCUGGGAAAGAGGGUACUAGGGGCCCGGAUCCAGGAUUCUGGGAGGCUUCAGUUACCGCUGGCCGAGCUGAAGAACUGGGUAUGAGGCUGGGGCGGGGCAGGAGGUGGCGCCCCCUGGUGGGACAACAAAGGGGACACCAUUUUUCCAGAGCUGCAGAGAGCACCUGGUGGGGAGGAAGAAGUGUAACUCACCAGCCUCUGCUCUUAUCUUUGUAAUAAAUGUUAAAGCCAGAA